rnacentral:rRNA from 1 species
AUUGAACGCUGGUGGAAUGCUUUACACAUGCAAGUCGAACGGCAGCACGGGUGCUUGCACCUGGUGGCGAGUGGCGAACGGGUGAGUAAUGUAUCGGAACGUAUCCAAUAAUGGGGGAUAACUAACCGAAAGGUUAGCUAAUACCGCAUACGCCCUACGGGGGAAAGCAGGGGAUCUUCGGACCUUGCGUUAAUGGAGCGGCCGAUAUCUGAUUAGCUAGUUGGUGAGGUAAAGGCUCACCAAGGCUUCGAUCAGUAGCUGGUCUGAGAGGACGACCAGCCACACUGGAACUGAGACACGGUCCAGACUCCUACGGGAGGCAGCAGUGGGGAAUUUUGGACAAUGGGGGCAACCCUGAUCCAGCCAUUCCGCGUGAGUGAAGAAGGCCUUCGGGUUGUAAAGCUCUUUCGCAAGGGAAGAAACGAUACAGUCGAAUAAACUGUGUUAAUGACGGUACCUUGAUAAGAAGCACCGGCUAACUACGUGCCAGCAGCCGCAGUAA